CAGAGUCAGAGGGACAAGCGUUACAUACCGUUCCCACAGUCCCUGAAGUUCAUUAUCCUUCACUACUGGUCAAAGAAAAAAACAACCUAGGAAUGAAAUAUAUGCUGGAUUUCAAGGAGUGGAAGACAUCCAAUGUAGAUUCCUCAAGGAGGCUGUACUCCCAUCUGUGGUGACAUUAGCAGCAGAAAAAUCUCUUCAUAUGCUUGCUACCCAUUUUCUAAAGUGAAACAGCAGUCACUCCACGAGGGGAAAAGGC